GGUUAAGCGACUAAGCGUACACGGUGGAUGCCCUGGCAGUCAGAGGCGAUGAAGGACGUGCUAAUCUGCGAAAAGCGUCGGUAAGGUGAUAUGAACCGUUAUAGCCGGCGAUGUCCGAAUGGGGAAACCCAGUGUGAUUCGUCACACUAUCGUUAACUGAAUACAUAGGUUAACGAGGCGAACCGGGGGAACUGAAACAUCUAAGUACCCCGAGGAAAAGAAAUCAACCGAGAUUCCCCCAGUAGCGGCGAGCGAACGGGGAGCAGCCCAGAGUCUGAAUCAGCUUGUGUGUUAGUGGAACGGUCUGGAAAGUCCGACGGUACAGGGUGAUAGUCCCGUACACCAAAAUGCACAGGCUGUGAACUCGAAGAGUAGGGCGGGACACGUGGUAUCCUGUCUGAAUAUGGGGGGACCAUCCUCCAAGGCUAAAUACUCCUGACUGACCGAUAGUGAACCAGUACCGUGAGGGAAAGGCGAAAAGAACCCCGGCGAGGGGAGUGAAAAAGAACCUGAAACCGUGUACGUACAAGCAGUGGGAGCACCUUCGGGUGUGACUGCGUACCUUUUGUAUAAUGGGUCAGCGACUUAUAUUCUGUAGCAAGGUUAACCGUAUAGGGGAGCCGCAGGGAAACCGAGUCUUAACUGGGCGUUAAGUUGCAGGGUAUAGACCCGAAACCCGGUGAUCUAGCCAUGGGCAGGUUGAAGGUUGGGUAACACUAACUGGAGGACCGAACCGACUAAUGUUGAAAAAUUAGCGGAUGACUUGUGGCUGGGGGUGAAAGGCCAAUCAAACCGGGAGAUAGCUGGUUCUCCCCGAAAGCUAUUUAGGUAGCGCCUCGUGAAUUCAUCUUCGGGGGUAGAGCACUGUUUCGGCUAGGGGGUCAUCCCGACUUACCAACCCGAUGCAAACUACGAAUACCGAAGAAUGUUAUCACGGGAGACACACGGCGGGUGCUAACGUCCGUCGUGAAGAGGGAAACAACCCAGACCGCCAGCUAAGGUCCCAAAGUCAUGGUUAAGUGGGAAACGAUGUGGGAAGGCACAGACAGCCAGGAUGUUGGCUUAGAAGCAGCCAUCAUUUAAAGAAAGCGUAAUAGCUCACUGGUCGAGUCGGCCUGCGCGGAAGAUGUAACGGGGCUAAACCAUGCACCGAAGCUGCGGCAGCGACACUAUGUGUUGUUGGGUAGGGGAGCGUUCUGUAAGCCUGCGAAGGUGACCUGUGAGGGUUGCUGGAGGUAUCAGAAGUGCGAAUGCUGACAUAAGUAACGAUAAAGCGGGUGAAAAGCCCGCUCGCCGGAAGACCAAGGGUUCCUGUCCAACGUUAAUCGGGGCAGGGUGAGUCGACCCCUAAGGCGAGGCCGAAAGGCGUAGUCGAUGGGAAACAGGUUAAUAUUCCUGUACUUGGUGUUACUGCGAAGGGGGGACGGAGAAGGCUAUGUUAGCCGGGCGACGGUUGUCCCGGUUUAAGCAUGUAGGCUGAUUGUCCAGGCAAAUCCGGAUAAUCAAGGCUGAGGUGUGAUGACGAGGCACUACGGUGCUGAAGUAACAAAUGCCCUGCUUCCAGGAAAAGCCUCUAAGCAUCAGGUAACAUCAAAUCGUACCCCAAACCGACACAGGUGGUCAGGUAGAGAAUACCAAGGCGCUUGAGAGAACUCGGGUGAAGGAACUAGGCAAAAUGGUGCCGUAACUUCGGGAGAAGGCACGCUGGUGUGUAGGUGAAGCCCCUGCGGGUGGAGCUGAGACCAGUCGAAGAUACCAGCUGGCUGCAACUGUUUAUUAAAAACACAGCACUGUGCAAACACGAAAGUGGACGUAUACGGUGUGACGCCUGCCCGGUGCCGGAAGGUUAAUUGAUGGGGUUAUCCGUAAGGAGAAGCUCUUGAUCGAAGCCCCGGUAAACGGCGGCCGUAACUAUAACGGUCCUAAGGUAGCGAAAUUCCUUGUCGGGUAAGUUCCGACCUGCACGAAUGGCGUAAUGAUGGCCAGGCUGUCUCCACCCGAGACUCAGUGAAAUUGAACUCGCUGUGAAGAUGCAGUGUACCCGCGGCAAGACGGAAAGACCCCGUGAACCUUUACUAUAGCUUGACACUGAACAUUGAGCCUUGAUGUGUAGGAUAGGUGGGAGGCUUUGAAGCGUGGACGCCAGUCUGCGUGGAGCCAACCUUGAAAUACCACCCUUUAAUGUUUGAUGUUCUAACGUUGGCCCCUUACCGGGGUUGCGGACAGUGUCUGGUGGGUAGUUUGACUGGGGCGGUCUCCUCCCAAAGCGUAACGGAGGAGCACGAAGGUUAGCUAAUCCUGGUCGGACAUCAGGAGGUUAGUGCAAUGGCAUAAGCUAGCUUGACUGCGAGCGUGACGGCGCGAGCAGGUGCGAAAGCAGGUCAUAGUGAUCCGGUGGUUCUGAAUGGAAGGGCCAUCGCUCAACGGAUAAAAGGUACUCCGGGGAUAACAGGCUGAUACCGCCCAAGAGUUCAUAUCGACGGCGGUGUUUGGCACCUCGAUGUCGGCUCAUCACAUCCUGGGGCUGAAGUAGGUCCCAAGGGUAUGGCUGUUCGCCAUUUAAAGUGGUACGCGAGCUGGGUUUAGAACGUCGUGAGACAGUUCGGUCCCUAUCUGCCGUGGGCGCUGGAGAAUUGAGGGGGGCUGCUCCUAGUACGAGAGGACCGGAGUGGACGCAUCACUGGUGUUCGGGUUGUCAUGCCAAUGGCACUGCCCGGUAGCUAAAUGCGGAAGAGAUAAGUGCUGAAAGCAUCUAAGCACGAAACUUGCCCCGAGAUGAGUUCUCCCUGAGACUUUAAGUCUCCUGAAGGAACGUUGAAGACGACGACGUUGAUAGGCCGGGUGUGUAAGCGCAGCGAUGCGUUGAGCUAACCGGUACUAAUGAACCGUGAGGCUUAACCUU
rnacentral:rRNA from 1 species